rnacentral:rRNA from 1 species
AGUCGCGUUAUCCGGAAUGAUUGGGCGUAAAGCGUCCGCAGGUGGCAGUUCAAGUCUGCUGUCAAAGACCGGGGCUCAACCUCGGAAUAUCGAUAGGCAGUGGAAACUGAACAGCUAGACGCGUAUGGUAGGGGCAAAGGGAAUUCCUCGGGUGUAGCGGUGAAAUGCGUAGAGAUCAGUAGCGGAAGAACAUCGGUGGCGAAGGCGCUUUGCCGUGGACCAUAACUGACACUCAG